AAUCAGCAGCCCUGUAUGCCUGCGGUUUUAAGAAAGACGCUCGAUAUUGUGUAUAUAUUUUGAUUAGUAUCCCAUUAGGAAUAUGUAAUUCCAAGCUUUUGGUUUUUUAAAUUAAUAAGGACAACGUUGAAUUUUGGUGUUUGCAUGAAUUUCUGAGAAUAUGAUUUAAAUUUUUCUUCAUAGUAUUGUAAUUUUUCUUUUAUUUGCGUUGUGCUAGAUGAAUUCCUUAAAUAACGUUUGUAAAAACUGCAAAGGAAAAAAAAGUGUGUUCUACACUAACCCAAGGAAGCAGCGGAGGAGGGGGGGAAGGGCGCAGGAGAGACAGGCUGCACCGGGCGAAGAGGGAGGGGAGCUGCCUCAGGCUCAGGUUGGCUGGGCAGCCAGGCCUGGCCAUUCCGAAGAGACAGAACUACGCACCUCUUCCGACCCUAGCAGCCGAGAGGUUCUAGGCACGCUGACUGCACUUUAGACACACCCACACUUGGAGCCGCGGAAUUGGGACUGGGGGGGAGCAGCAGAGCCCGGGAGGGGACGGGCGACCGAGUGACUGACGUUCUCAGGGACCAAUGAACAGCAUGAUGCCUAGUCCUGAAGGUUGGGAACAUCUAGAGUAGAUAGACCAGAAGAAGGUACAAGUGACUCCAGCUGAAUUCUCAAGAUCUAGGUGACAGAUACCAUGCAUUGAAGUCUUUUCCAGGAUUCUACAAGGGAAAUGACCAAUGAACAAGGACUUCAGCCACAGCCUCAGUCCCUGGAAAAGCAUCCUAUUAAGUAUUACAAGGUGGAGACAGGAAUGACCAGCAGGAUGAAUACAGAGAGGACUGGCGAGACUUACAUGAACUGAUGCUAAGUGAAAUGAGCAGAACCAGGAGAUCAUUAUAUACCUCAACAACGAUACUGUUUGAGGAUGUAUUCUGAUGGAAGUGGAUCUCUUCAAUAAAGAGAGCUAAUUCAGUUUCAAUUGAUCAAGGAUGGACAGAAGCAGCUACACCCAAAGAAAGAACACUGGGAAAUGAAUAUAAACUGCUUGCAAGAUGAGGGAAGAGGAAGAAGGGAAGGAAGAGAAAAUAAGUACUUGUUAACUGAAAAAUAAAAUGAAAUGAAAAAAUGUAUAAA